rnacentral:lncRNA from 1 species
GAUGAAUGUGCAGAGGUCUUUCGCGAGGAGUAUGGUGGCUGGUUCUGCAACGGUUUUUGCGGUGUUGAUGACUGCGAGGAAGAAGAGCGAGGGAGAUGAUGCGAAUCGCAGGUCUGUGGCGGCGAUUUCUGGGUUUUCUGGUACAGGUCCGGUGGCUUGCUGAGGAGAUGGUCGUCGCUGCGGCGGCUAGGGUGCGGAUUGGACGCUUGUUGCGUUGAUGGUUGCUGGUGAUGG